rnacentral:rRNA from 1 species
GACGAACGCUGGCGGCGUGCUUAACACAUGCAAGUCGAACGAAGUGGCGAACGGGUGAGUAACGCGUAAUCAACCUGCCCAUCAGGGGGGGACAACAGUUGGAAACGACUGCUAAUACCGCAUAAGGAAUGAGGGGAUUGCGGUGGAUUAGCUAGUUGGGGGGGUAAAGGCCUACCAAGGCGAUGAUCAGUAGCCGGUCUGGGAGGGUGAACGGCCACAUUGGGAAUGGGACACGGCCCAGACUCCUACGGUGGGCAGCAAGGGGGAAACUUCCGCAAUGGACGGAAGGCUGACGGAGCAACACCGCGUGAGUGAUGACGGCCUUCGGGUUGUAAAGCUCUGUUAAUCGGGACGCGGUACCGGAAUAGAAAGCCACGGCUAACUACGUGCCAGCAGCCGCGGUAAUUC